CUUUUUAGAUCCCCUUAGUAAAGAUCUAAUGGUCACAAGAUUCAGUUUCUUUCUCCUUUUGGGCUUUAUGAUUUGGUUUAUUGAACAAAUGAAGAAUUUCAAGGUUCAACAAGACAACAAAUUGGACCAACUCUCUGGUUUGUCUUUUCAAYCCUUGUUUAUGCUCACAUGUUUGUGCUCACAUCGAGUUACAUUGUAACUUUGACUUCACUUUUAGCGGUACAACAAAUUGCAUCGAAGGAGGGGUGUAUCGGAUUUCAAGAUUUCCCCCCCAUAGCAGAAGGAGCUGUCUUUAACAGCUUGGAAUUUGCUGAGGUCAGGAAUUGAGAAAUUAAAUUCAUCUCAUGACUAUGCUAAAGCAUUAACUGAAGGUUAUAGUGUAACCAUUGAUGAGAUUCUCUACAUCAAUUCUGUUCUUGCAUUGUAUUCGGCUGUCGACUUCUCCUUGAUAGCAACAGCAUCCACCACAAACGGUUUCGGCUUUGGGUUCCGGAAAGGUUCACGGUUGGCUCGAGAGAUGUCAUUGAGAUAGCCAAGCUACGCGAAGGUGGAACGUUGAAUGCAUUGGAGGAUAAAUGGUUAAAACAUCAAUCUUCAUUGAUGUCAAAGGAUUUUUCUUCCUCAUCAUCGAACAUUUUGAUCCUUCAAGGGUUUUGAGGUUUGUUUCUUAUCAGUGGGAUGUCGAUGACGUUGGCUCUUUUGGUGUCCAUAGUUUAUCUUGUUCGUGAAAAAUGGUCUGGCAAAAAUAAGAUACUAAGGUGCAUGUUACAGACAUCCGUUGAAAUACAUAUGCAAGAUAACAAAGUGGA